rnacentral:rRNA from 1 species
GGUUGCGAUCAUACCAGCACUAAUACACCGGAUCCCAUCAGAACUCCGCAGUUAAGCGUGCUUGGGCGAGAGUAGUACUAGGAUGGGUGACCCCCUGGGAAGUCCUCGUGUUGCCACCC